rnacentral:rRNA from 1 species
GACGAACGCUGGCGGCGUGCUUAACACAUGCAAGUCGAACGGAAAGGCCCUGCUUUUGUGGGUUUCUCGAGUGGCGAACGGGUGAGUAACACGUGAGUAACCUGCCCUUGUCUUUGUGAUAUCUUCAUGAAACUGCGGCUAAUACCCGAUAGGAUCUUCUGCUGCAUGGUGGGGGUUGGAAAGUUUCGGCGGUUGGGGCUGUUAUCGCUGGUUAUGCGCUUGAUUGUGUGGUAGUUGCUUUCCAAGCCUUUGAAGGGUACCAGGCCUGGGAGGGUUACCGGGCACAUGGGGACUGAGAUACGGGACAGAAGAGAACGGGAGGCAACAGAGGGGAAGAUUGCACAAUGGGGGGAAGUGAGAUGCAGAAACGCGGCGUGCGGGAUGACGGCCUACGGGUUGUAAACAGAUUUGGAAGGUGACGAAGAGUGAGUGACGGUAAUGGAUAAAGAAGCACCGGCUAACUACGUG